rnacentral:rRNA from 1 species
CCUACGGGGGGCAGCAGUGGGGAAUAUUGGACAAUGGGCGAAAGCCUGAUCCAGCCAUGCCGCGUGUGUGAAGAAGGCCUUCGGGUUGUAAAGCACUUUCAGUGGGGAAGAAAGCCUUGGGGCUAAUACCCUCGAGGAAGGACAUCACCCACAGAAGAAGCACCGGCUAACUCCGUGCCAGCAGCCGCGGUAAUACGGAGGGUGCGAGUGUUAAUCGGAAUUACUGGGCGUAAAGCGCGCGUAGGCGGUCUGAUAAGCCGGUUGUGAAAGCCCCGGGCUCAACCUGGGAACGGCAUCCGGAACUGUCAGGCUAGAGUGCAGGAGAGGAAGGUAGAAUUCCCGGUGUAGCGGUGAAAUGCGUAGAGAUCGGGAGGAAUACCAGUGGCGAAGGCGGCCUUCUGGACUGACACUGACGCUGAGGUGCGAAAGCGUGGGUAGCAAACAGGAUUAGAUACCCGAGUAGUC